rnacentral:tRNA from 1 species
CGCGGGGUGGAGCAGCCUGGUAGCUCGCAAGGCUCAUAACCUUGAGGUCGACGGUUCAAAUCCGUCCCCCGCAA